rnacentral:sRNA from 1 species
ACAAUAGAUGGUGUUGCGCUUCUCGAGCGUU